UUAGUAAGUAGGCUCUACCCCCAACAUGGGGUUAGCUCUCACGACCCUGAGACCAAGCGUCAGUGCUCGGCCAACUGAGCCAGCCAGGCCCCCCAGUUUUUCCCCCCUGCCUUAUUCUAUCUGUUCUUUAUCACCUUGACCAUUUUUUAGAAGUUGGACUAAGGACCCCUUAGCCUAGCUUGACUCAUUUUCUAAACCUGAUUCCUCGAGGUGCUAACUGCGUGACUCUGAACGAGUUCUUUAACUUCUCUCGGCCUCAGAGUCCUCAUCAGUAAAAUGCGGGUAGUAAUUCCCAUGGACCUCACUGAAGUAACGUGUACAGUGCUCAAAAUCGUGUCUGGUAUGCAGUAAGCGCCAUGUAUGUGUUAGCUAUUAUCCGCAGCAUCCAGCCUCGCUUCUGGCACACAGUGGGUGCUAAGUAAGCGUGUGUGUUAGUGAAUGAGCCCACACGAAGGAUUCUGGGAAGGAGAGCCGGCCGGGAGGGAGAAGGAGGAGACAGAGCUGGAGUCGGAAGAGGUGGAGCCGAGCCCCUCCUCCUCCUGCAAACGAAGGCCUUGGCGGCGGGAGAAACGGGCCGGGCACGCAGGGCCUCGCGGUGGUUGGAGGGCAAGUGCGUGGGCCGGGGACGCGCCCAGGGCGGGAGGGCCGCGUGGGCCGAGGGCGGGUGGGAAGCCACGCCGACGCACCUGCGUGAGAGCGCGCCCGGCCCUCCCCUCGUACGUACGAAGCCCCUUUUACGCAUGCUCAGACAAAGGGCACAAAUUCUAGGAGACUUGAGGGAGGUCGCACAGUUGGUAAGAGGAGGGUUUGCUGGGAUUUGAACGCGUAUUUGAGGUCAGGCUCAAGCCCACCGGUCCGUACUUCUGUCCUUGAAAGCAGGCGCACACAUACCCUCUUCGUAGCCCUGACAGAGAACCAGAGAGCCGACAGCCCCAGUUGCCUACCUGUUAGAAGUCGCUCUCUUCACGGGGACGGGAGCGACAGGGACUGGCGGCGUCUUGUCCUGCUCCAGGAAGAGGUUCCGGUGAAGGCGCUGCCUGGGCCCCUGCGAGACCCAAGCACUUCAGGGCCCUGGGACUUGGGCGCCUGAUCAGCGGGGUCCCUCCUCUUGCACCUUUGAGGAAAGGCUUCUGCCCUGAGCUCGCAGAAGCAGCCAAGGUGCCGAGAGCUUUCUUCCCCUCGCCACUCCACUAAGCCAGGCUAAGUGACCUGUGUCCAGCCCGUGACCCGGCACUGUAUGCGCACUGCUCACGGUCCUGGGCCUGGGGAAGAUGCGGCGCUUGGGGCCAGGGGUGGGGACCCCCAAAGGGAUGCAGUAAAGGAGGCACCCGGGAAGGAUUACCUGGAAGAACGUGGAGGAGGUGGUGCCUCGUUUCUUCCUGAUGCCCGAGGGCCAGAGAAGGAGCAGACUGCCUGAUGGGUAUGAAGAUGCCGGCCGCUGGGUGUGCGGACGAGCUAAGUGCCAGUGCUCCGGAGAAGGGAGGUCCUCGACCUCCCUGGGAGGACAUACGCUUCUCCACAGCGCCCCCUGGAGUCUAAGCGGCUGGAGUUCACACGCCCAGUCCGGACCUUUCUGUCGAGGUACAAUCUGCCUCCAACAAGCAGCAGGGACCUCCAGUGGACAGCUCACCGCACUUACCAGUGUACACGCCACGGAACUAAGCCUCGGAUCAGCAUAUAGAACGUUUCAACGCCCAGGAUGAGCCUGUUUCUUUUUUGUUUGCUGUCAGGGCAGAGGGACGACUCUCUCCGGAAAUAGCCAUUUAGGAAGGUUCCAGCUUCCGGUCCCUCUUAGCCUUACUUUCUGUCUGCCCGGCAACCCCUCAUCAGCAGCUUUGCAAUAUUGUGAUCGCGCGCUUUUGGGAACCGGAGGGGACCUCAGGACGCCCAGCUUCUUCAGUCACCGACCAAGAGGACCUGGUGAGAGAGGGCCUUGCCCAAGCCCGCACGGAAGGCAGCUGUGGAGGCUGGGACUUGCUGCUGUUCCCGCCAAUCCCUCUUCGGAGCCUCAGUCGGAUUCUCCGAGUCCGCGGGCUGCGGGCUUUUCCGCUGGGGCCGCAUCUUCUAACAGGGAGCCCACGCCACCUGCUCCCUUCAGGGCUUUGGAGGACAGUCUCCACCGUCCUGCAUCACCAUCCCCGUCCCGAGCCCUUCCCUCCUCCUCCCAGAGGAAAAGGACAAACGGCCCCUGUCUCAGGCCGAGGACACCCGGAUCCGAUCCCGCGCAUCUGACUGGCCAACACCCAACUCAGACAAACAGCCCCCUGCAGCGGCUCGGAGGGGGACACGGCGGCUCUGCCACCACCCAGGCCCCCCCGGCCUGCCCUCCCGCCUCCCCAGAUCGCUUCUGAACCGUGGUUUGCAAGUCUCAGGUGUGUGAACCCACGAGAGGCUGAGUUUGGCAGGGAGGAAGGCCUGGAAACAGUUGAUGGAGGCGGAAAGAGCCCUUUGAGGAUGGAGCUGGGGAAGGGACGGCCCGGAAGAAAUGUGCGGUGAGCCAGACUGCACUCCCUUUGCCCGAGGUCCUCUCACCCCCGGUCCUCAGUCUGCCAGACACUCAGCAGACCGGGAGGGUUGGCUGCUGGGCUCGCUCUUCUGGGCCGAGGUCUUUGCCACCCGCUGCCGCAGACUCAGCAAGGUGACGGGAACCAGCCCGCCCAAGCCCUGACUUCUCUUCCUCGAGCACCCAGACCUGGCGUCAGGCAGCCGGCGACCAGCUUCUUGAUCCCUGCUGCGCACAAGCAGGUCCCGUUGACUGUUGCAUGAGGGAUGAGGACAGUUGGCAAGGCAGCCCUUUAGGCGGUGGCAGGGAGAGGCUGUGGGUGACUGGCAGGACCCCGUCUCCUUCCAGCGAGGUUCACACACAGCUGCCUCCCUCCUCCACCCUGCGAGCCCCAGGCCACGCUUCUCUCUGGCC